AUUGAACGCUGGCGGCAGGCUUAACACAUGCAAGUCGAGCGGGGUGAUGGUGCUUGCACUAUCACUCAGCGGCGGACGGGUGAGUAAUGCUUAGGAAUCUGCCUAUUAGUGGGGGACAACAUCUCGAAAGGGAUGCUAAUACCGCAUACGUCCUACGAGAGAAAGCAGGGGAUCACUUGUGACCUUGCGCUAAUACAUGAGCAUAAGUCGGAUUAGCUAGUUGGUGGGGUAAAGGCCUACCAAGGCGACGAUCUGGAGCGGGUCUGAGAGGAUGCUCCGCCACACUGGGACUGAGACACGGCCCAGACUCCUACGGGAGGCAGCAGUGGGGAAUAUUGGACAAUGGGGGGAACCCUGAUCCAGCCAUGCCGCGUGUGUGAAGAAGGCCUUAUGGUUGUAAAGCACUUUAAGCGAGGAGGAGGCUCUUUUGGUUAAUACCCAAGAUGAGUGGACGUUACUCGCAGAAUAAGCACCGGCUAACUCUGUGCCAGCCGCCGCCGUAA
rnacentral:rRNA from 1 species